rnacentral:lncRNA from 1 species
CGAGCCGGUAACUUUGUUAGCUAAUUCGUGAAUUAUUUGCGAAUUAUUGAAAAUCUGAAUUAAACGGUCCGUUUACGAAUUUUUUCUAAAGAAAAUAAAUUAUUUGCGAAUUUUUGGGCCAGCUGAAUAAUUUGCGAAUUACUUCCGGAUUAUUAAAAAUCUGAAUAAAAAAUUUAUAAUUUUUAUAUUUAAAUAUAGAUUAUCUUAUAUUUUAUAUUUUAUACCGAAUCCUUUUUUAAGUCAAUUUUUUUAACGAAUUUAAAAAUUAGGAAACAAAUUUUAUAGGUAUUAUAUCCCUACCGAAUUUUUACGGAAUCCGAAUUAACUAUGGCCGGUAAUCUAUUUGAUUCACGUGGUCAAAUAAGAAAGUGACAUAUAAUAGUCCUAGCACCUAGAAAAGUGAGUCCAAACCCAAGUAAGGCUUCGUUUGGGAAUACGGGGAGAUUGCGUUACGUCCAGUGAGAAAGUACGUUGAAAAAAUACUAUGUUUGUUUCCGUACGUAAUAUUGCGUUCCGCAUAUCGCAAUGAGUCGGAUACGAUAUAUUUUUUGCGGUCCCACCGGAGAACGUAGAAGCAUACCCCUAUAUGCUUUUUCCUCAACUCUAUUUUAUCUAAUAGGGUUAGAUAGAUCUCAAUACCAAACUAAGCCUAAGUUUUGGGCGAGAACGGUUGGAAGCAUGGGAGGCAG